rnacentral:rRNA from 1 species
UGGGGAAUUUUGGACAAUGGGCGAAAGCCUGAUCCAGCAAUGCCGCGUGUGUGAAGAAGGCCUUCGGGUUGUAAAGCACUUUUGUCCGGAAAGAAAUCCUUGGCUCUAAUACAGUCGGGGGAUGACGGUACCGGAAGAAUAAGCACCGGCUAACUACGUGCCAGCAGCCGCGGUAAUACGUAGGGUGCAAGCGUUAAUCGGAAUUACUGGGCGUAAAGCGUGCGCAGGCGGUUUGCUAAGACCGAUGUGAAAUCCCCGGGCUCAACCUGGGAACUGCAUUGGUGACUGGCAGGCUAGAGUAUGGCAGAGGGGGGUAGAAUUCCACGUGUAGCAGUGAAAUGCGUAGAGAUGUGGAGGAAUACCGAUGGCGAAGGCAGCCCCCUGGGGCCAAAUACUGACGCUCAUGCACGAAAGCGUGGGGAGCAAACAGGAUUAGAUACCCUGGUAGUCCACGCCCUAAACGAUGUCAACUAGUUGUUGGGGAUUCAUUUCCUUAGUAACGUAGCUAACGCGUGAAGUUGACCGCCUGGGGAGUACGGUCGCAAGAUUAAAACUUAAAGGAAUUGACGGGGUCAUA